rnacentral:rRNA from 1 species
AAAUUGAAGAGUUUGAUCAUGGCUCAGAUUGAACGCUGGCGGCAGGCCUAACACAUGCAAGUCGAACGGUAACAGGAAGAAGCUUGCUUCUUCGCUGACGAGUGGCGGACGGGUGAGUAAUGUCUGGGAAACUGCCUGAUGGAGGGGGAUAACUACUGGAAACGGUAGCUAAUACCGCAUAACGUCGCAAGACCAAAGAGGGGGACCUUCGGGCCUCUUGCCAUCGGAUGUGCCCAGAUGGGAUUAGCUUGUUGGUGG